AUGUGCUGGUGAGCCAGUCAGUGGGAGUCUGAGCAGAGGCUGGUUAAGUGUGGUUCCCGUGGUCACCACUGCACUUGUUCUUGGCCCCAGCCGCCUCCGAGGGAGCAGCCACCUAAGUCCUUCUCCUCCGUGAAGAAACAGAGCUGCUCUGGAAAAGCCCUCGGGAGCCCUGGGAGCUGCACGGUGAGAGCAGAACCGAGGUCAGCAGAAGAAGUCCAGUUCUUGAAAGGUCGUUGUCUAUAGAGAGUUCAGAUGAGAUCAAGAUCAAGUCCUCCAAGUGGUGCUUCAGCAGGACCCAAUCCUCCUGCAGUUUCUUUUUCUCCUGCCUUAGCAUGUCCACCUUCUUGUGCAGCUGAGUCUCUUCCAUCAGGAUCCGGGUGUGCAGACGUCUGGAGACACACUCUGCAUUUAAGGCCCUGCCAGCCUCCUCCUGCCAGCCCUGCAUCCAGUAACCACCUCCCCAAGGCCUCAUGUGUCCAUGAAAACUUAGCCAGAUUCUGAUACACUCAUGACAGCUCCAGUCAGGGCCAAAAUGAGAGAAGAGCAGAGAAGAGCUACUUCCAGAAAAAAAUCAAACUGCUACAUACCACACUAACACCAAAAAGGAAUCCAUGACCCUUCCAUAGAAAGUGGAUCCCCCUUACUGUCCUUUACAUAGUAAAGGAAGACAUCAGUAAAUAGUGAGCAGAUACCCUCCAAAUGCAGACAGGAGACACAAGGUGAGUAUCUACUGGUUCCACAGCCAUCAUAUCUAUAAAGCCUGGGUCUGAGCUCCAGAAGCCCUUGGCUUCCUGACAUUACACUUGCAGUGCAAAUCGCCUUUGUAUAUAGAGGCUGCUGGGGCUCUAGGACAACAGUGGCAGGGGCUAGCAAACAAUCUCUGCCCCACUUAGCAAAACUGAGUCCAGGAGAUACAUAUCCAAGAGCUGCUUGCUAAGGAGCAGAAAGGUUGCAACCAGACCUGUGGACUCUUCAGUCAAGAGGAAAAAAAGACAGAAGUAGCAAUUCCACAGUUAAUAUGGUCCAUGCCAAAAUGGGUACAUACCGAUGGAAGACUGUCUCCUUGUUCAGUCUUUAGAACUUUUCUGAUGCCUCGGUGUUCUCAUUCUCAAAGAUCUUUAGUUCCCACAUGACCUGUUUGUGUUCCAUCUUCAAUUUGUCAUAGAAUGGAUUUGACUUGUGGUAGGGUCUGAAAACAGGAGGAAAAACCCCAUGAACAAGGCCUCAAGCUUCAUGUGAACUCAAGUUGUAUUCUGAUCUGCUCCAGACCAGUGGAUGCUACAUAUUGGGACCUAAAUGCAGGGUCUCUUCGUGACUUUAAUCUUGUUAUCCUGUCCCUGGAUCAGCAGAGGAUGGAUAUUCACAGGGAGAGUGGCCUGGAUGCAUGAGCUCACUCAGUAGUCCUGGAUUGUCCAUCUAUCUCUCUAUGUUACCAGGAGUCAAUUUCAAAGGUUGGGCACUCCAUGCAUUACAAUGAUGAUUCUCAUGUUUUAGAACAUAGACUCUAUGGCCCAGUUUACAAUUACUGAACAGUUACAGCACGUAAUACAUGAGUUAAGACUCAACAUCAGGACAGCUGUAUAAACUUCCAAAAGAUUCCUAGGUGCCAUCAUGGUGAGAACAUAGAUGCCAACAACAGCAUUGAUGAUUAAAGUUGGUUUCCUGAUCUUAGCUCUAUCAUAGCCUUGAAACUGAGAUAGGAAAAAUCCUCAGAACCCACCACAGGGCUAUGGCUCCCAAAUUUGUUGUGGGACACACAAACUUUAAAAUGCAUGUAUGACCAUACACAUGCCCAUGAGAAAGGGAGAAGGGAGGGGGAGAGAAGGAGGGAGAGAUUUGGGAAGUAUAGGAAGGAGAGAUGGACUCAACCAGUCUGGCUAGGCUGGCUGGCUAGUGAACCCAGGGUCACACCUGUGUUCACAUUCCCAGUGUUGAGAUUAUAAGCAUGGAUCCUGUCAACUAGAUGUUACAGGUGCUGAGGCUCAAACUCAGCCCUCCAGCCUCUGUGCAAGAGCGUUAUUGUCUGGGCCAUUUGCCUAGGUCUUUUGUGCUCUUUGUGUUCCCCUUCUAACCUCUCUGUUGUCCAUCCUCUGCCAUCUGCCCUGUCAUGGGUACAGCACAGGUUUUUCCUCUCCAGCCUAACCACCUGCUGAGAUGUCUCCUCUCCUUCUCUGGUCCUCACUGUGCUGGACAACGGUGUCUUGGGAAAGACUUGUUUGUUGACUGCUUUUGCCAUGAGACUGAGGAUACUCAUUCCAGUACUGCA